rnacentral:rRNA from 1 species
UACGGAGGAUCCAAGCGUUAUCCGGAUUUAUUGGGUUUAAAGGGUGCGCAGGCGGAAGAUUAAGUCGGCGGUUAAAUUUUGCGGCUCAACCGUAAAAGUGCCUUCGAUACUGGUGGUCUUGAGUGUAGAUGAAGUAGGCGGAAUUUGUGGUGUAGCGGUGAAAUGCUUAGAUAUCACGAGGAACUCCGAUUGCGCAGGCAGCUUACUAAACUACUACUGACGCUCAGGCACGAAGGCGUGGGGAUCAAACAGGAUUAGAUACCCCUGUAGUCCCU